rnacentral:lncRNA from 1 species
AGCAGAACACCACCUGUAUAACAACAAACACAGCUUGAUAGGUACAUGAUGCAGAUGACAGAGCACACAGCAUGGAUCUCUCUCCCUCUCUGGCCUCAUGUCAAAUUCAAUCAGAGUUCAUAGCGGCCGAUGGGAAACUAUGGAGAAAAGUCAUUUUGCACACAAAGAAAGAACUUUGCACAAACAGCCUGUCUUGGGAAGACACAGGGGAACUUGAGCACAUUGCUAAAACUUUUCUGUUUAGAACUCUGACAGGUAUCUUGCCUCAGGACCCAACAACCUGAAGCCCACUUCACCAACAGGCAACACCAGGACAGAGCACCAUACAGAGGUAAACAAUGGACAAAGGGGCAUAUUCUGUAAUGUAGUUAACUGCUGCAAUUGGUUUAUUUCCCACCUCCUUUGUUACAUGUGAAAAUCAUGUUUUGUCUGAACUAGGGAUGGAGGAGAAAUUUGAUUCAGUUUGUAUUCAAAGGCAAACCUAUCAAUUUUGCACUUUCUGAAAAAAAAUAUGAGAACUGAAACAGGCAUCUUUCAAAAUUUGUCCAUAUCUGAAUUUUGAAAUGGAGUUCUCCAACCAGUGUUUACAAAAAUGCAUACAGUACAUAGAAGUAUGCAUGGAAAUUGUGAAAGCACACUUUACCACCACAGUGUGCAGUAGUGUAUGCCAAACACAGGUGACGUCUCUGUGGUUCUUUGCUGACGGUUGCUAGAUACCUCUUUCCAACCGGUGGUGGACCCUUGAGGUCUCAAAUUUCAGCAGUACCCUCCACCUCUCAUCUUCCAUUCUAUAUCAUAGUUGUGGCAGCCUCUAGGCUCCAUGCCCAAUGCGACCGAACCAAACUGGUCACCUCUGUUCCAACCCCUGCCACUGCUGGUCAAAUAGUUAUGAGCAUGCAGAAUCACAGUCUGGAUGCAUGCAGCAGAACAAGCUGUUACCUAAUGCACAGUAUUUUGCUACAUUCCCCAAAUGGGGAGAAUGUUCACAGUCAGUUCCCCUUCCCUCCAAGGGAGGCUGAGGCCUGAGAACUGACUAAAGCACUCAUAUGGCACAAUUUCAUCUUCUGUUUCUAAUAUUUACUACCUCUCGGGAGUUUAAUUUAUAUGGAAAUGUUGCGUAUACUUAAAAAAAGCAAAAACUAUUCAGGGACUAUGUGCUCCAGGCUGCUGCUUAUUUCAUACACUCUGUCUGUCCUUGCUCUUCAUAGGUCGAUUUCUCACAGGUACAGGAUCCACCUCAUGGCUUAUUCUAUUCUAGUCAGGAGAGAGACCUCUCCUACUACCAGCAGGAGUGACCAGGAUGACCCCAGCUGUUCCUCCAUGCGGUUGGUAACCUACUUGGCUCCAGACCAGCUCCGCCAUCCUUGCAAGCCUCAUGACCGCUGUGCAACAGUUGAAGAGGUUCCCACCAUGGAGAUGGACCCAUGAGCAACACUGCAACUGUUGCCUAUCAAGACACGUGUCCAAGACAUGGGAGGCCUGCCAGGAUGAUUGGCUGGCAAUCCCACCCAUGUACUUCCUUUUCAGGAGCCACUCAAUUCCUGGAUGUUGAUCAUUAAAGCACCGAUGUUGUCAUGUGCUGUUGUUCCUUUGUUGACCAGAAACGCUAGAACAAAACGGGUCUCUAACGCCCAAGUAUCAUCUGACCUCAAGACAGAACUCUGAGAGGGGCAGGCAAGGAACUUGAUGGGCUCAGAAGUCAUCACUCCCUCCUUUCUCCGCUCACUCAGGUACUCCAGACUGUGAGGAGGCAUGUGUCUCAGGAUGUUCAAGUGGGACACUUGCUUCCGCCAGGGUGUACGAGGAAGUCGGUUAGGGUUGAACUAAUGAAAGAAGGUAACUGCACAGCUGUAUAAUGUGACAGAUUAAAUCCCAGAGUCAGGAUUUGUCAAAAGCAUGGCAAACUUCAAGAUGCCCACCUUUUAUUUACAAAUUUUUGACCCCACAUUUCCUCCCAGCAGAGGCAGAUUGAGGGGAGCACAACUCAGUUUGGUCGCACUGGUUGCAGAGUCUCGGGGGCGCCACAGGGAACACAGCUACUAUGAUUUAGAAUGGAGUGCAAGAGGUGGGAGGGGUGUCAAAUUUUGGCAUUGCACAGGGUGCCAUUGCAAUGUGAGACCCCAAGGUUCUCCACUGCUCCCAGUGAAGCCUAGGGUAAACAGCAAAGAAAUACACUAGAGCAGAAGUGGCUUUCCCGUAACAUUAGUCUUCUGACAGUAGUACAUGCAUGGGCAGAGCCGAUCCAACACUCCUGCCAACGUAUCUGCAUAACUUCAACUUCUCCAAUUGAUGCCUUGCCCCUCCCAUUCUUGGUAAGUGGCAGUCACGCUGCUACUUCUGGGAGGUUAGAAUUGUGGCUCUGCCACAGCAGGCAGGCUGUUUCUGUACCAGAACUUUUCAAGCAGCAUUUGAUGCAGAAUUGCUGUCUUAGUUCCAGCUUCCAUUUUUUAAUAAUUCUGCUAGCCAGUCAAGUGAUGAUCCUCAUUUGUACAACACUUUCCAGGGGUGCUCAAAUUGUUUCGCACCUUUGUGAGAAUGCGUUCGUGACCACAGGGAGGUGUGCAUCAGGCACUUCCCAGCUCUCAGUCAACGUAGCCACUAUGCUUCUCCAACUCUUGGCACCCUCCCUCUUUCAUUUUAGCCUGGCAGCAUCCAGGUUUGCAGAAUUUGCCUAUUUGGAUUCUGUAGAAACAAUGACAUGGCACACAUUAAACAGUAUCUUUGAAAAUGGAAAUAAAAAAGCUCCCCCACUAGAACGACUGCAAAUGUAAAACUAGCAAAUUAACCAGAAAGAAGG